GAGUUGAUCCUGGCUCAGAUUGAACGCUGGCGGCAUGCCUUACACAUGCAAGUCGAACGGCAGCACGGGGGCAACCCUGGUGGCGAGUGGCGAACGGGUGAGUAAUACAUCGGAACGUGUCCUGGAGUGGGGGAUAGCCCGGCGAAAGCCGGAUUAAUACCGCAUACGCUCUGAGGAGGAAAGGGGGGGAUCGCAAGACCUCUCGCUCAAGGGGCGGCCGAUGGCAGAUUAGCUAGUUGGUGGGGUAAAGGCCUACCAAGCGCGACGAUCUGUAGCUGGUCUGAGAGGACGACCAGCCACACUGGGACUGAGACACGGCCCAGACUCCUACGGGAGGCAGCAGUGGGGAAUUUUGGACAAUGGGCGCAAGCCUGAUCCAGCAAUGCCGCGUGUGUGAAGAAGGCCUUCGGGUUGUAAAGCACUUUUGUCCGGAAAGAAAACUUCUGUCCUAAUACGGCGGGGGGAUGACGGUACCGGAAGAAUAAGCACCGGCU
rnacentral:rRNA from 1 species